rnacentral:sRNA from 1 species
AGCGACCAAGCCGCAGGUGGCGGCGAGCGCGGGGCUCGGCCCGAGCUCAGGAGAUGGGGAAACUGAGGCACGGAGCUGGACAGUAACUCAGACACCAGGUGAACAUUGGCUUUUGAGGGCAGGGUUGGGACUCGUGGGGGCAGCAAUGCCAGCUGGGUCAUCACAGUGAGGAGUGAGCUCUGACUCCCAGGAGGGUACAUAAGGAGCCGCCUGGAGUGGAGCUGAGAGCUCAGGUCUGGGCUCAGCCAGUCCAGAGUGCAAAUCUACUGUCCCUUCCUAGCUGUGUGAUCUUGGCAAGCACUGGACGGGGCCUGCAGGGGUCUCCACAGAGACCAUCAGGAUGUCGUAUUUUGGGGAGCAUUUUUGGGGCGAGAAAAAUCAUGGCUUUGAGGUCCUGUACCACAGCGUGAAGCAGGGGCCCAUCUCCACCAAGGAGCUGGCGGACUUCAUCCGGGAGAGGGCCACCAUCGAGGAGACCUACUCGAAGGCGAUGGCGAAACUCUCCAAGCUAGCCAGUAACGGGACCCCAAUGGGCAGGGCUCAGCGUGCAGCACAUACCUGAGCCAGUGCCAGCGCUGUCCCGGGU